CGAAGCAGGAGAUCCACAGAUCUGAGCUGACGGCAAAGUCUUCACUGGAUCCUUUGGUGGAAUACAGGAAUCAGAUAUCAGAUGGAGGUCACCAGUAACUGAUGGACCCUCUCAGAAUCUCUGGAACAUCGGAGUAUCUGGUUCUCUACGGCCGAAGCAGGAGAUCAACAGAUCUAAGCUGAUGGCAAAGUCUUCACUGGAUCCUUUGGUGGAAUACAGGAAUCAGAUAUCAGCAGCUGAGCGAUGGUUCUUCAGAGGACUUGGAGGUUCUGGACACCGACAGCUCCGAAGGGACAAGCGGAUUGAGCCCUAUCUGGUUUUGCCCAUACCCAAAACCAGAUGCUCAACAGAAUGCUGAAACAGAGGGGGAUGCUUAUUCUAUAGGCCUAUACUAUCUAAAAUUGAGGGAGAAAUUUGGUAUUAAACCUGUGUGAGUUCAUAACCAUAAAGCGGUGAUGGAUGCAACUGUGCGAGCACCUGUGCACGGAAUCAUCAAGCACUGCCUGAGAGAGAAACAAAAUGAGGAUUGUCCUGGGUGCACCACAGAUGCCCCCGGUCAGAGGCAUCACGACUGCAGGUACUGGUCUUUAGAUGAUGUGAACUGUAAAAUUAAAGAAAUUAGCGGGUAGUUUGUAUAUGGAGCGUGUGUUAAAUAAAAUUAUCCUGUUGGGAUACGUGCUGCA
rnacentral:lncRNA from 1 species